GUCCAACUCUUCUAACGUCUCCCGGGCCAACUGCUGACACGUCUCUUCUGAAGAAGGGGCAGCAGGGGUGGUGAAUGAGAGGAUCCACAGGCAGACCCACAAAGGCCCCAGCCCACGGUGAUGGCGGUCAACCAGAGAGAGGGAGGAAAAGAGAGAGAAACAUCGAUCAGCUUCCCCACCCACAUACCCCAACUAGGGGUUGAACCCACGACCUAGAACGAAGUACUGCGGAUCAGGGAUUUUUCUCUGCUUUUGUUUACUGCUGUAUCACUAGGGCCAAGAACAUGGCCUGGCACACAGUGGACACACAGCAAAUGUUUACUGAAUGA